CGGGAAUACUGCGCCAGAGGAAGUGCGCCGGUUGUCCGUCUAUGCGUCCUGACUUCCUGUUCUGUGGCAGCAGAGACGGACGAAAAAAAAAAACAAGAAAAAAAAAAAAGCUGCGGAUCCGCUUUCAGGCAGCAGCAUGGAGCCCAAACACAACACACACAGCCCACACUGACACACACACGCACACACACUCGCUCACUCUCACUCGCACUCAGUCAGUGACGGACUCGGGAGCAGCAGCAGGAUCUCCUGUGUCUCUGGCGACAUCAUGGAGAGCUCCAUCACACUCUGGCAGUUCCUGCUGCAGCUGCUGCUCGACCAAAGCCACAAGCACCUCAUUUGCUGGACGUCCAACGACGGCGAGUUCAAGCUGAUCAAGUCAGAGGAGGUAGCCAAGCUGUGGGGGCUGAGGAAGAACAAGACCAACAUGAACUAUGACAAGCUGAGCAGAGCGCUUCGCUACUACUACGACAAAAACAUCAUUCGAAAAGUGAUCGGCCAGAAAUUUGUCUACAAGUUUGUAUCAUUCCCGGACAUCCUGAGGAUGGACCCUGCGCUGGUGGAAGCCGGGCGGGCCGGUGAGGACAGCCGGGUCACCAUGUCAGAGUCGGAGAGUGGAGAUGAGGACGGGGGCAGACAAGGUCAGGUCCCUCCACCCCGCCAGCACCAGGUCUUGGAUCUCCAUCUGUCCCCCAAGGCUGAACCUGGUGUGGACCUCCAUGACGACAACUCCACCGUCAUCAGAUUCAGCCCGGCCACGCCCCUAAAAUCUUUAGGGCUGUCGCCCCGUAAAGUGAAAUCAUCUCCGUCGCCACCCCAGAGUCCGGUUUGCACAACCAAGGGGGACGAGUCGGAGUCCAACGCACAACCUUUAAACCUGUCGUCCGGGCCGAGGGAGCGGUCCAGGAGCGUGGCCACACCAGAGAGGAAGGGUCUCACACACGGCAGGGUCUCUAAAACGCGGAAACCCAAAGGCCUGGAGAUCCCCUCUCCUUCCCUCUACCUGACGGUCAAUGACCUGGUCUCCCUUGCCCUCAACAGUCCAUCCCUGCCGUCUGGAUCCCUGACCCCCGCCUUCCUCUCAGCACAGGUAGGCCUGAGUGUGUCUGGAUGUCUCGGGCAGUGGGAGAGCCAGGCUCAGGAAAUUUCAAAUAGCAGACAGGGAGGAGAUGGAGAGCGAGGUGAGCGGAAAGAGGGGAGGUGGUUUAUAAGUGAAGCCAUAUGUUCCGGAAGUUCCACAAACAGUCUGAACAGACCUUCCCCUGACGGACUCACAGAAACGAGGACCAUCACUCCGCGCUGAGUUUGAUCCCAGAGAUUAUCGGUUUUAGGUUUCAGAUCUUGGUCCCGACUCAGCAGCUCUGACAAGAGCGGGGUCUGUGGGGAUUCUGAAUCUAGUCCAGAAAGCUUGGGCCGUGCUUUAGUCCUGAAAUAAUAUUGCGUCCCACUUUGACCGGGAAUUAUACCAUUUCUGUGUCGACAAAUAUGCUUCCUCCAAAAUCCAAUACUUUUAGAGGAUCUGAUUUGAGCUUGGAUUCAUUCAAGUGCAAAUCUAUAUUCAAACUAUCAACCCUCCAGUUAUUUUAUGGCUCAAAUAAAAGUAAAUCAAAUUAUCAUCUUUUGUUCUUACUUUAAUAAUGUGUAUUUCACUGUCACAAAAAAUGUUCUUAUCUGCUGUGUGGACAGCAGCCAGAGUCAAACGGACUAGGCCCAAACUAGAAAACAGCCGGUAAAUGGAGGACAUCCUCUCCUCACCUCGACUUACUCCUCAUGACUGAUGACUGCGCACAGAUCCAUCAGUUAUGUCCUGGUUGGAAAUGAGGCUGCCCUGCAGGUGUAGGAGUUUUCAUAUCUCGGGGGCUUGUGUACGGCUGAGGGCAGGACAGAGCACAAACCAAGCACUUUUUAAUUUAAUUUUUUUAUUUUAAUUGUACAAAAUUGUAUCCAAAAAUCCAUUUCACCCUGCAUAAACUUCAACCGUACACAUCAAGACAUCUAUUUUAUGUAUUUAUUUUUGCAUUAGAACUUGUUUUCUAACAUGCUUCUCUUGCAGAGACUUGAGUGUGACCCGUCCGGAAAGUAGUGUUGUGACAGGAAGGGACAGGAAGUGAGGGGCAGAGGAACAGGAAGGAGAAGAAUGCUCUUGUUGAAGCUGAAAAACAUGUCUUCAAGUGUUAAUCCUCAAGUACACAUUUCACUACUAUAGCAUUGAAAUGAGUAAAUCUGGUGAUGAAAUUAUCGAUCAAUGAAAACAUCUGUCUUUUUUUGGAUGUGUAUAUAUUAAUACUGAAAUUUAUAUCUAGUACUAAAAAGGCAGCCCUCGCUAACUGAACCUGGCUGCAGAAAUGUCUUUGGUGUGUACCUGCAGUGGUGCUGUAAAAACAUGUUGAAUCUAUAGCAAAACCCUGAAAUGAUCAUUAUUUAUUUUCACCUCAAAAUAGGUCCAUCAAAAUAGAGCCUCGGUCUCUCAGUGAAUUUCACAGACUUGAAAUCAGAGUCUCUCAGAUUCAUAUUUUGUCCACCCAGGAAAAGUGUUUUGCCAGGAAAUGACAGGAAGUGAAGCGCAGAGAAACAAGAAGUGAUGCGUAAGAAAGCGUUACUGGUUUGACAGGAAGUCGUGUCAGCAGCUUAUGACAGUCACUAAUACGAACCUCCAACAAAAUGGCGCGGUCUGCUACCCUGCUUUCAAGAAAACUCAAGAAAAUGUAAUUUUCAACAAGAUAAGAAACACAUAAGACUUGUACGUCAAACAUGAAUAUUAUUUGAAUGUUUUGUUUUUUCCUCAAAACAAAAGGAAUGAUCUAAUGCGCUUACGGCAGUGAAUGUGGGAUGCUGUUAAACAUAAAAGAACAAAAUAAAGAAUGUAAGUCUGUCUCAAACGUGGAUGAAGUGCUAGUCUAAUGUUGAUGUUGCUCAUAUGCUGAUGCAGUAUAAAGCAGUAGCGAAGACCAGGCAUCUGUGCCUGAAGUCAAUUCGGCAAAAAUGGGUGAAGUAAGUUUUGAAGAUGUCAUUCUGCUAAACUCCAAGGAAAAGGGUGGUGCUAGCUAGUAGGGAGCUGUAGUGGGGUUGAACUACUGUUAGCAAAAUGCUCAUACAAUGACCAAGAGUGACUCUGGUAAAUAAUAGUGAGAGGCGCAUUGAUAAAGCUUUUUUUCAAAAGGUGAACUAGUGUUGCACCUGCAGCAUGGUCCACUAGAGGGCGUAUUUCCACCUUUUUCAUUACAUCUAAAAGACGUGAUUUAAAAAAAAAAAAAUGUUCUUUUUCUCAGACUCCACCUGGACUGCUGUUCACCCCAAAUCCUCUGCUGUCGUUCUGGUCCAGUCUGAGUCCAGGUGGUCCUUCAAGUCCGGCCCAGCAGCAGAGCAACAGCCCGCUCUUCCAGUUCCCCUCUUUGAUAAACGGACUGCCAGCGCCUCUGCAGGGCCU